AGAGCGAACGCUGGCGGCAGGCCUAACACAUGCAAGUCGAACGGACUCUUCGGAGUUAGUGGCGGACGGGUGAGUAACACGUGGGAACGUGCCUUUAGGUUCGGAAUAGCUCCUGGAAACGGGUGGUAAUGCCGAAUGUGCCCUUCGGGGGAAAGAUUUAUCGCCUUUAGAGCGGCCCGCGUCUGAUUAGCUAGUUGGUGAGGUAAAGGCUCACCAAGGCUACGAUCAGUAGCUGGUCUGAGAGGAUGACCAGCCACAUUGGGACUGAGACACGGCCCAAACUCCUACGGGAGGCAGCAGUGGGGAAUCUUGCGCAAUGGGCGAAAGCCUGACGCAGCCAUGCCGCGUGAAUGAUGAAGGUCUUAGGAUUGUAAAAUUCUUUACAGUUAGGGACAUAAUGACGGUACCUACAGAAGAAGCCCCCGGAUAACUUCGUGCCAGCAAGCCGC
rnacentral:rRNA from 1 species